UUUUGGAUAGCUCAGUUAGUAAAGAAUCUGCCUUCAAUGCAGGAGACCCAGGUUCACUUCCUGGGUCAGGAA
rnacentral:tRNA from 1 species